AACGAACGCUGGCGGCAUGCCUAACACAUGCAAGUCGAACGAGACCUUCGGGUCUAGUGGCGCACGGGUGCGUAACGCGUGGGAACCUGCCCUUAGGUUCGGAAUACCUCCCCGAAAGGGGUGCUAAUACCGGAUAAUGUCUUCGGACCAAAGAUUUAUCGCCGUUGGAUGGGCCCGCGUUGGAUUAGCUAGUUGGUAGGGUAAAAGCCUACCAAGGCGACGAUCCAUAGCUGGUCUGAGAGGAUGAUCAGCCACACUGGGACUGAGACACGGCCCAGACUGGGACGAUAGGAAGCAGUGUGGAAUAUUGGACAAGGGGCGAAGGCCUGAUCAAGCAGUGCCGCGGGAGUGAUGAAGGCCUUAGGGUUGUAAAGCUCUUUUACCCGGGAGGAUAAUGACGGUACCGGGAGAAUAAGCUCCGGCUAACUCCGUG
rnacentral:rRNA from 1 species